UACGUAGGGGGCAAGCGUUGUCCGGAUUUAUUGGGCGUAAAGAGCUCGUAGGUGGUUUGGUAAGUCGGAUGUGAAAUCUCCAGGCUCAACCUGGAGGGGUCAUUCGAUACUGCCAUGACUAGAGGUCGGUAGGGGAGUGUGGAAUUCCUGGUGGAGCGGUGAAAUGCGCAGAUAUCAGGAAGAACACCCGUGGCGAAAGCGGCUCUCUGGAACGGUACUGACGCUGAGACGCGAAAGCGUGGGGAGCGAACAGG
rnacentral:rRNA from 1 species